CAUAAAUCCACAGCUCAAAACCAAGUGAUGUCAUCCUAUGCUGCGCCUCGUCCAGACUCAAAGAACAGAACAUGAAAGCAGCAAGAAAUAUUCAUAUGAUCCCUGCAUACGCACAAAUAAAGAUCUACCCAGAUCUUUCCUAUCAUACAAGAAAGAAGACGAUAUAUGGAUUUAACAAAAACACUCCUAAAUAAGGAUAUAAAAUAUAAAGGGGGUUUCCCCACA